AGUGAACGCUGGCGGUAGGCCUAACACAUGCAAGUCGAACGGCAGCACAGUAAGAGCUUGCUCUUACGGGUGGCGAGUGGCGGACGGGUGAGGAAUACAUCGGAAUCUACUUUUUCGUGGGGGAUAACGUAGGGAAACUUACGCUAAUACCGCAUACGACCUACGGGUGAAAGCAGGGGAUCUUCUGACCUUGCGCGAUUGAAUGCGCCGAUGUCGGAUUAGCUAGUUGGCGGGGUAAAGGCCCACCCAGGCGACGAUCCGUAGCUGGUCUGAGAGGAUGAUCAGCGACACUGGAACUGAGACACGGUCAAGACUCCUACGGGAGGCAGCAGUGGGGAAUAUUGGACAAUGGGCGCAAGCCUGAUCCAGCCAUACCGCGUGGGUGAAGAAGGCCUUCGGGUUGUAAAGCCCUUUUGUUGGGAAAGAAAAGCAGCAGGUUAAUACCCAGCUGUUCUGACGGUACCCAAAGAAUAAGCACCGGCUAACUUCGUG
rnacentral:rRNA from 1 species